GCAGUGCAAUUGGUUAAGCACGCGCCCUCGGAAAGGGUGAAAUGCGGGCUCGAGUCCCGCCUGAGGUU